rnacentral:rRNA from 1 species
CCCUUAGAUGUUCUGGGCUGCACGCGCGCUACACUGAAGCGUUCAACGAGUAUUCACCUUGCCCGGGAGGGUUGGGUAAUCUUUUGAAAACGCUUCGUGAUGGGGAUAGAUUAUUGCAAUUAUUAAUCUUCAACGAGGAAUUCCUAGUAAGCGCGAGUCAUCAGCUCGUGCUGAUUACGUCCCUGCCCUUUGUACACACCGCCCGUCGCACCUACCGAUUGAAUGGUCCGGUGAAGCCUCCGGAUUGGCGCGCACCUCGGUGCCGCCGAGAAGUUGGCUAAACCUUACCAUUUAGAGGAAGGUGAANUCGUANCA